UAUAGGUGGAAAAGCAAAGCCUUUGAAGGCCCCCAAGGCUGAUAAGAAGGAAUACGACGAGGCUCUCAAGGAGCUUAAAGCCAAGGCUCAACAGAAGGGGUCAUUUGGAGGUUCCGGGCUCAAGAAAAGUGGGAAGAAAUGAGGGAUUCACACUCUAAUGCAAACCUCUAAAUUAUUGUGCUAUGACUACAAAAUGCCCUUCUCA